CCUACGGGAGGCAGCAGUGAGGAAUAUUGGUCAAUGGGCGAGAGCCUGAACCAGCCAAGUCGCGUGAGGGAAGACGGUCCUAUGGAUUGUAAACCUCUUUUGCCGGGGAGCAAAAAGCGGUACGUGUACCGCAUCGAGAGUACCCGGAGAAAAAGCAUCGGCUAACUCCGUGCCAGCAGCCGCGGUAAU
rnacentral:rRNA from 1 species